rnacentral:rRNA from 1 species
GAUGAACGCUGACAGAAUGCUUAACACAUGCAAGUCGAUUCGAUUUACCUUCGGGUAUUGAGGAUGGCGGACGGGUGAGUAACGCGUAAGGAACUUGCCUCUUGGUCUGGGACAACUGUUGGAAACGACAGCUAAUACCGGAUAUUAUGAGAUUCUCGCAUGGGAAACUUAUGAAAGCUAUAUGCGCCAAGAGAGAGCCUUGCGUUCCAUUAGCUAGUUGGUGGGGUAACGGCCCACCAAGGCGACGAUGGAUAGCCGGCCUGAGAGGGUGAACGGCCACAAGGGGACUGAGACACGGCCCUUACUCCUACGGGAGGCAGCAGUGGGGAAUAUUGGACAAUGGGCCACAAGCCUGAUCCAGCAAUUCUGUGUGCACGAUGAAGGUCUUCGGAUUGUAAAGUGCUUUCAGUUGGGAAGAAGAAAGUGACGGUACCAACAGAAGAAGCGACGGCUAAAUACGUGCCAGCAGCCGCGGUAAUACGUAUGUCGCAAGCGUUAUCCGGAUUUAUUGGGCGUAAAGCGCGUCUAGGCGGAAAAAUAAGUCUGAUGUUAAAAUGCGGGGCUCAACUCCGUAUUGCGUUGGAAACUGUUUUUCUAGAGUACUGGAGAGGUGGGCGGAACUACAAGUGUAGAGGUGAAAUUCGUAGAUAUUUGUAGGAAUGCCGAUGGAGAAGUCAGCUCACUGG